UAACACAUGCAAGUCGAGCGAGCCCUUCGGGGUUAGCGGCGGACGGGUGAGUAACGCGUGGGAACGUGCCCUUUCGUCUGGGAUAACAGCUGGAAACGGCUGCUAAGACCGGAUGCGCCCUUUGGGGGAAGGAAGGAUCGGCCCGCGUCGGAUUAGGUAGUUGGUGGGGUAACGGCCUACCAAGCCGACGAUCCGUACCUGGUUUGAGAGGAUGAUCAGGCACACUGGGACUGAGACACGGCCCAGACUCCUACGGGAGGCAGCAGUGGGGAAUCAUAGACAAUGGGGGCAACCCUGAUCUUGCCAUGCCGC
rnacentral:rRNA from 1 species